GUCUCUGUGGUGCAAUGGGUCAGCGUGUUCGGCUGUUAACCGAAAGGUUGGUGGUUCAAACCCACCCAGGGACG
rfam:Picoides pubescens contig96245, whole genome shotgun sequence.